rnacentral:piRNA from 1 species
UAGAAUGCUAACGUAAGGGAAUACGGUU